rnacentral:rRNA from 1 species
AACGAACGCUGGCGGCAUGCCUAACACAUGCAAGUCGAACGAGACCUUCGGGUCUAGUGGCGCACGGGUGCGUAACGCGUGGGAACCUGCCUUUAGGUUCGGAAUAACGCCUCGAAAGGGGUGCUAAUACCGAAUAAUGUCUUCGGACCAAAGAUUUAUCGCCUUUAGAUGGGCCCGCGUUGGAUUAGCUAGUUGGUGGG